rnacentral:lncRNA from 1 species
GGAAAACUUGGAUCAAGGGGAACAAAUUUGAUGUUGAACACUUUUUCAUUUGGAGCUUGGAUCAUGGUGAAUUUGAAGGUGGAAGUUUGGAAAUUUCAACAUGUUGAAAAUUUUUCUAAGUGUCAAGCCAUAUAUCUCAAUAUUCCAUCUUGCUUAACUUUUUAUGUGAGUUUCAAAUGAGAAAAGUGUCUUUAUCAAAGUUGUAGCUCUUUCAAAGACCUUCAAAAUGUUCACUAAUUUCAU